UCGUGGGCGGGGAGCCUCCUGGGCUGCUGCCCCAGCGCGUUGCAGUCGCGCAACGACCGCGUGGUAGAAUAUCCGGCUCCGUGGCUUUUGCUUCGGUGUUUCCUAGGCAUCGUCGUGUAGGGAGUGUCGAGCCCGCCCCAAAUGGUCGUUUCCCCUACAGUUUCCUGUACCUUUUGAGAUGUCCGUCGUUCUGUCUGGUCCUGCCAUUGAUCCAUGCUAUUCGCUACUGAGAUGUCUUCAUUCCUUUCUGCCUAGUCCCAUCAGGACAAAAGAUGAAUCAUAAAAAAAGAAGAAAAAGAAGUAAAAACAAAAGGAGGAAACAACCACAUGUUAAACCUUUCUGAGGCAUUGUGCACAUCAUGUUUAAAGAGUUUAUUUUGUGAUUGGUUUGCAUUUUCACUGGUUUGUCAUGAUUACAGUCACAGUGUCCAAUUUGUUAAGGAAGAAACUAUGUGUAUAAUUUUGCUUGUUGAUUGCAUGCAAUGUAAAUAUACUUUAAAAUUUAGAUUCAUAGUGCCAUCUCUUAAAUAUCUCUAUCAAGAUUAGUAGAGCAGACCCACAUACUUCAAACCAUCAAACAAUGCCAGUUGGGUUAUUUUUACCUCUGUACCUUGAGAAAGAUGGCAUUCGGUAAACAGUUGUCUCUUUUCAAAUUUUAUUUUU